GGAAGUAAAAGUCGUAACGAGGUUUCCGUAGGUGAACCUGCGGAAGGAUCAUUAUUGUAUAACCGAGGUGCGAGGGCUGUCGCUGACCCGAAAGGUCGUGCACGCCCGAGUGCCCUCACACGCAUCCAUCUCACCCCUAUGUGCACCACCGCGUGGGUCCCCCUUUGGCUUGUUCGGAGGGGGGCUUACGUUUUCACACAAACUUUGUAUGCAGUGUAGAAUGUAUUUUUUGUUUUUGCGAUCACGCAAUCAAUACAACUUUCAACAACGGAUCUCUUGGCUCUC
rnacentral:misc_RNA from 1 species